UGCUGAACUAAGAGCAUAUUUUAUUUACCAAAUCAAAAUGCCUAUAAUCAUAUAUGCUUUUUUCCUCUUUUUGGUCACAGAAGCCAUUUUGGGAGUAACACUGGAGCAAAAAGAUCUCUCACUGACAAAAGAUUUAGACAAAUCUGUAACUAUUAGCUGCCAUGUGACCGGGUUAACGACUGAAUAUGUCCACUGGUACCAAAAGAAAGAAGGUGAUGCCCUCAGAAGGAUUAUCUAUGUAAAAACUGGAAGCUCAGCUGUUCCUGAUAAUAGCCAUCCUGAAGCAAAGGACUUCAGUGUGAGGAUACAGUCUGAUAAUUAUGAUCUGAAGAUAGCACGCCUCAAGAAAAGUCACUCAGCAGUUUAUUACUGUGCCAGCUGGGAGACAGGCUCCCACAGUGAGAAUAAAUAUCCACAGCGUGUACAAUAA